AUUGAACGCUGGCGGCAUGCCUUACACAUGCAAGUCGAACGGUAACAGGUCUUCGGAUGCUGACGAGUGGCGAACGGGUGAGUAAUACAUCGGAACGUGCCCGAUCGUGGGGGAUAACGAAGCGAAAGCUUUGCUAAUACCGCAUAAGAUCUACGGAUGAAAGCAGGGGACCGCAAGGCCUUGCGCGAACGGAGCGGCCGAUGGCAGAUUAGGUAGUUGGUGGGAUAAAAGCUUACCAAGCCGACGAUCUGUAGCUGGUCUGAGAGGACGACCAGCCACACUGGGACUGAGAGACGGCCCAGACUCCUACGCGAGGCAGGAGUGGGGAAUGUUGGACAAUGGGCGAAAGCCUGAUCCAGCCAUGCCGCGUGCAGGAUGAAGGCCUUCGGGUUGUAAACUGCUUUUGUACGGAACGAAAAGCCUCUUUCUAAUAAAGAGGGUCCAUGACGGUACCGUAAGAAUAAGCACCGGCUAACUACGUGCCAGCCGCCGCGGUAA
rnacentral:rRNA from 1 species